rnacentral:lncRNA from 1 species
AAACCUUGAACCCAGAAUCCAUUACACUUCCACUACUCAAGGAGACAUAUACCGUCCAAGCUCUUUCCACCUAAAAUGGCGAACAACACUUACCUCAACAAGUCAUAAACUUGACAAACGCCUUCGCGUAAUAGAUUACCUUAGUAAAUUAGCUCUUGUAGCGUGCCCUAGACGAGAUGUGCCGAAGUAGGACAAUGGCAGAUGACGAACCUUUCCAACAGCGUUCCGGUAAGCAGCCACUUGACCAGUCACGAACCAAGUGUUUUGGCAGUGUACACUCCCGACUGGGCCCCCGAGAUAGUGUAUACUCUCGUCUUAGCGCGCUGAAGAGCAUGCACUUUUGGUUAGGCCCAUGGAUGAGCAUACAUUCACAGUUGAGGCCACACUCUGAUAAUCAACAUGAGCAACCUUUUACAAGUGAAGUGUUCAUUCGCGACUAGGCCCGCAAGAAGCAUCAUUCACCUUACAUUAUAAUAGGCAGCACAAAGGACGGUGAUAAGCAGUCGCAUAAUCUGACUUAAGUUAAACUAGCAGCCUGCGAGAAAUUCGCUUGCCUGUUAGGAGUAUACCACAUGCACCGCAACUGCGAAAUAAACGAGUCAAACACAUGGAAGAACAGCCUAGACUAGCAUGUCACAACCAGGGGCAGCCAAGAUCUCCGUUACCCCAACAAAGGAAAAUUCAUGUAAAAAGGUUUCUGACCGAGCGAUUACGCGAUUUCCAACGCAUCAAAACUACUAACAAAGCUUUCCGAUUAGACAUGACCAACAUAAAUAGGUAACAUUUCAUUAACAAGAUCGAGCAAACAAAACCAUCUCAUAUACACUGAAGGAUACAAUGAUUUCUUCUGUUCCGACAAACGCAGCAACCCAGCCUAAUAGCUCAUAUAGGGACAGACGAGUACCAGAAGAACACACUAGCCCAAACCGGUAGCAUGUCUUGUUCUCAUUACUCCAGAAUACUAGAGCAACAUAUCACUAGUAGGUGAGCAUCCAGGACCUAGUAGCCCAAUUCUUCCUACUGUUCACAACCUAGUCUGUGCCGGCCCCAGCUUCGCACUUACAAUCAUGCCUACUUGCUCCAUGGCUCCCGACAACCCUUAAUCUGUCACCAUGGCUCAUAAUCGUGCCUAUCUUGUACCACGGCUCCCAACCUUACCGAUCUUGCCUUGUGGUUCCUAAUCGCGCCGACCAAGACCAUAGCACUCCAAACUUCCAAGCAUCCAAUGACGGAGUAAAAGACAAGACUUUAUUAGUAACCUCUGCUAGCUAAAUACUUAGCGAUGAAGAAGCUUGCAAUCUAUUCUCAGCUGAUCACCAAACAAGCCUCUGAAUAGCACAUGACAAAACAUCUAACAAUGGCGUAAUACUUGAAGAAAGUCUGGGAUGAGCUCGCUGCGCUUCCCACUUACACCUUUACGUGGGUUCCACAAGCAAUUUGAAGUCUCAAGUAGAUCGCCGAACAAGACUUCACAACUAAUGAUUCUUUCAGUUGUUUAGCAGUUCAGUUUUCCUCAACUGCACUCACAACAAUGACUUCCAUCAUCUCCAGUGCGAGAGGGUAAACUAAUUCCCCAACACUCAUCUGGGUAUGCUCUCCAGUGUGAGAGGAUAAACUAAUUGCUCUUCAGUGCGAGAGGGUAAACUAAUUCCCGGACACCCAUAUGGGUCUACUCUCCGGUGCGAUAUGAUAAACUAAUUGUUCUCCAAUGCAAUAGGGUAAACUAAUUUCCCGACACCCAUCUGGGUCUACUCUCCAGUGCAGAGGGUAAACUUAUUCCCUGACACCCAUCUGGGCUUGCUCUCCAAUGAGAGAGGAUAAACUAAUUACUCUCUGGUGCGAGAGGGUUACCUAAUUCUCCAACACCCAUCUAGGUCUACUCUCCAAUAUGAGAGGAUAAAAUAAUCGCUUUCUAGUGUAAGAGGGUAAACUAAUUCCCCGACAACCAUUUGGGUGCCCUCCAGUGCGAUAGGGUAAACUAAUUCCCCGACACCAUCUGGGUUUGCUUUCUAGUGUGAGAGAAUAAACUAAAUGUUGUGCAGUGCGAGAAUGCCACACAGCUCAAAAGAUCAAAUACUCAAAUAGUAGCUAAGUAGCAUAUGGUCAGGGAGCAGCAGCCACUUCACACUCAACAGUUCGCUCAUCUGACACUUCAUCUUUAGCAGCUCCGAUCUUAGCAGCUCUGCCUUUGAUUGCUCUAUCUACGGUAGCUGAGAAAUCAAACUCAAGCAGUUUCCUCAUUCUUGGCAACCAGCCCAGACGUGGCAACCUAAAAUGUGGCCCAUUCCAUGCCAUUUCCUCGCCCAUGUUGAGCCAGCCCUUAGCUUCAGUCAAGCUGAGCAGCACAAGUUGUGGCCCCUGCCACACCACUUCCUCAGCCUAUGGCAGGCCGACUCCUGACCUCUGCCGGCCGAUGUGCCGCACCAUCCCGACGGCUGCCCCAUAACAGCACCACCCAAGAAAAAACAAAGAAAAUUAAGCUUUUCUUACAUUAGUGCGGCGCAGAAAAGACAAAGAAAUCAAUGAAAGACGAUUAUUUGCAUAGGCAAGCAAAGAAGAAUGCUAAGGAAGAAGGAACAAAUAUCCUCUAGCUUUCUCUCUUUCUUGUAGGGAUAAAUAAUUACCCUCCAAGGUUGAUUUAAUCCCCUACUUAAGGUAGACUUAAAUAGGCUUUGGAGGCCAUUUAUUUACCUUUCCUAGAAGAAUCUAAUUCCAAGUCCAAAUGGGAAUUUGCAUCAAAAUUGGACAUCUCUACACCUGCUGCCCUUUCUUGCAAGCAAUUCAGCAAGUAUGGGGGCAUUUGUCGAGCAAAAAAUAAUCAAGAAAAUUAUGGAGGCGACACGUGUAUUUUUGGGAAAAAAUGACAAAAUUACCCUCGAGACACACCGGGAAUCUCACACGCAUGCAACAGACAAUAAUGACUCAAUCAAGGAAGAGUCAAAGAUGAUCAAAAUGAUAUUUAUUCAAACCCCUCUCAUCACUCCUCAUCAAAUUCUCGCUUAAAAGGUAACUCCCAAUUUUCCAAUUCAAUUUGGGAUUAAUUGCCAAAUUAAUUGCAAUAUAUUAUUUCACAUAAUAUCUUGCAAUUACACUCACAAUUUGACCAUAUGUGGCUGGCCUCUAUUCUCUAAAUAGGGUCGGUCACUCCCCUAUAAAUAGCCAUGUUUUCUCACUAAAAUGCUAGGCCAUUAGUUCUCUCCUAAAAAAUCCAUAAACACUUUCUCUCUCAAAUUCUAACUUUAGCAUCGGAGAUUCUUCGGCCAAAGCCGCCCCCCCCCCCGCCCCGCCAUUCAUCGUGGGCACGUGAGGCUUUUGACCUUAAUCUUAAGUGUUAUUAUUUUGCAGGUGCAUUUUCGUAAAAGGACAAGACGGCCGAAAUUUACAUCCACUAUGCUCACUUUAUAACUUCUAUUUGUUGUUUAAAUUUCAAGUUUAAUUUCUUAAUAAAAACUAACCGCAUAAAUCUAUUAACUUUAACAGAUGCAAAUUAAGCCAGCUUUCCAUGUAACCAUUUCCAAAUUUUUUCCAUAGGUAAGUUUUUCAAUUUACGCACCUGUAGUAACUUCCACAUCAACGGCACUAUUUUACCAUAUUUGCAUGUCUAUUACGUGUCCUCUCUGAUUUUGUAUUAUUUUGAAAAUCCAGCUAUUUUUAUGCUUUGUAGCUCUUGUGUUGUCUAAUUAUUUCUUAAUUUCUUUUAGGAAACUCCACCUUUUUUGUUGCUCUCAAGACACAUCUCUCUUUUUCGGCGACACAACCAACUUUUCUUCUGCCUGGCGGCUGAAUAUAUCUAAACUCUCGGCGAACCAGGUAUUCAGAUAAAAAUUAAAUAUAUAAAUUUAUUAAUUUGAAAAUCACAUUGGAUCGGAUAAACCAAUUUGAACAGUCAUGUAUCACCUUCCUAUGCAUUCAUUCCAAAAUUAUUAAGGUUUGUAUUGCAUAUGAACAACCCACAAUUUUUCAUCCUAGUCUCUCUUUCCCGCAUAUAUUUAGAUCUACAAUUCCAACCCGCCCUAGCAACCAUAGCCGAUUGAGAACUUGUGAUCGGCCCUCUCUUGUCAAUGGGAAAUUUAGAAAAAUGCCCAUUUUCACAGGAAUAAUAAUGAGAAAGGAGGUCGUCUCUCUUAUCUCACAUCAACGAGAAAUUUUGAGUUGUGAUAGGAACACAAAUAAUACAUCACAUGUUUUCAUAGGAGUGGUGAGAAAUUUUAUUUUUCAAGUUAUUAAUUUUUUAGCACAGUGGCGGAGCCAAGAUUUUAGGUGAGGAGGGGCCUCACAUAAAUGUGAAAAAAAAAAUUAAAUAAUGCAUGCUUGGAGUUGUGAGCUAAUUAUUUUUUAGGCUCUAAAUGUUUUUUCUAUGUUGAAGUUAACCUUCCAUUCUCAAGUCAAUGAAAAUGCUAGGGAUACUAUGUUUUUAGACCAUAUGUUAGAAACCACCUAAUGUGACCCCGUUGAUGAUUGGAUUCCUUCUUUGGUGAUUUAAAGAAGUAGUCCAACCAUUAAGUACUAUACAAUCAUGUGGUCACAAAAUAUGGCUCAAGUAGAAGCUAUCUAUAGCAUCACUCCAAGUCGAUAUAGAAUAGAUUGGGAAUUUCCGAACAAAAAAUGAGAAUUAUGGAUUGGGAAUUUGGUGAACAAAAUAUAUGAAAUUUUAAAAAUUUAGUAAAAAGUUAAAGAGAGCAAAGAUAAAAUAUAUAAAAUUUCAAGAAGCGGAGAAGGAGAAACUCAAAGUUUAUUAUUCUUCAGUUAGCAAUGUAAAAGAACAUUUUUUUGAUAAAACUAAACUAGACUUUAGAUUUUAAUUUUAAGAGCUAUUGAUUUGUUUAUAAAAUAAGAUUGUAAAUUUAUUUUUAGGACGAGUGUUGUUGGGAUUGAAAAGAAAAAGAGACUUGUUAUUUUAACUAUUAGUGAAUAGCAAUUAAGAGUUUUGUGUAAACUAAAAGAAGUAUAAUAUUAAGUUUAUCCAAAUAUAAUACAUAAUUAUUUAGAAAGGUUAGUUGGGGGAUCUUUAGUGAGGGUAGGCCUUGGCCUAUGGUGGCCUUAGAGUGCCUCCGCCCCUGUUUUAGCACAUAUAUCCAACAAUUUGUAUAAUGACACGUGAUGUACCAUCCUGUGUACCGGUCACAAGGAAAAAUCUCUCCACAUCAACGGCAUUGUCUUACCAUAUUUGCAUGUCUAUUACGUGUCCUCUCUGAGUUUUGUUUUAUUUUGAAAAAUCUCUCUUUUGUGCUUUCUAACUGUUGUGCUGCCUAUUUACUUCUUCAAGUUCUUUUUGGAACUCUGCUUGUUCCGUUGCUCUCAAGCCAUACCUCUCUUGUUCAGUAGGGAUCCAUUCUUAAAUAUAUCAAUUUGUUAUAUGUAAAAUAUACCUCUUUUUAAUAUAAAAUGUACCUAUUUUUUAUAUAAAAUUCAUUCAAUUUUUAUUCUAAUCCACUUUUUUAAACUUAUAUGGGUACAUUAUAUUUUGUUGAUUUGAUAAUGUAUCCUUGUCAAGUUUAAUAAAAGAAAUUUAAUACUGUUAUUAAACCUAAUUUGUUUUUUUUUUUUAUGUUUUUGAAAAAUGUACCCAUGUUUUGGUACAAUAAUUUUUUGGUUAGUUUUGACCAUGUAUAUAAAUAUAUAUACACACAUAAUAUUGGAGUAUAAUUUAUUUUUGAUAUUUUUAGUCUCAUGAAUUAUGGGUUUAAUUUAAAAUUUCAUUAAUAUAAAUAACUACAAAUUUCAUUUUUAAUUUAAAAAUAUAAUAACUUACAUAGAAAUGCAAUAUUAUAUUAAUGUUAGUGACUUCGAUAAAAAAAUUGAAAACCACAAGGGUUUCAAUUAAAGAAUAUUAGUAGUUAGGGACCGCAUCUCACUCUUUUGUGCUUUCUAAAGUUUAGGCAAACCAGGUAUUCAAAUAAAAACAAUUAGAUCUACAAUUUCUCAUAAACAUAACCAAAUCGCAUUAAUAGAUAGAACUAUCACAUUAUUUAAUGUGGUUGUUGUGUCACUAGCAUACCUAUGAAAUUUCUUUACCAUUCAUAGAGAGUAUUAUUGGUUUUGACUUCCACUUCACCUUUCCUAUAAUUAUCCUAUCCACAUUUGACUUUUAAACAUAGAGAGACUAUAACAAAUUAAAUAAUUGUUUGCACUGAUUCGGUUUUGUUGUUCAAAUUUAAAGCUGAA